UACGAAGGGGGCUAGCGUUGUUCGGAAUUACUGGGCGUAAAGCGCACGUAGGCGGGUCGUUAAGUCAGGGGGUGAAAUCCCGGAGCUCAACUCCGGAACUGCCUUUGAUACUGGCGAUCUAGAGGUCGAGAGAGGUGAGUGGAAUUCCGAGUGUAGAGGUGAAAUUCGUAGAUAUUCGGAAGAACACCAGUGGCGAAGGCGGCUCACUGGCUCGAUACUGACGCUGAGGUGCGAAAGCGUGGGGAGCAAACAGG
rnacentral:rRNA from 1 species